GAUGAACGCUGACAGAAUGCUUAACACAUCAGCCAUUGAUUGGCGUAGGACGGGUGAGUAACGCGUAAAGAACUUGCAUCACAGCCAGGGACAACAUUAGGAAACGAACGCUAAUAUCUAAUACUGUGAGAGAGCUUUGCGUCCCAUCAGCAAGUUGGAGAGGUAACGGCCCACCAAGGCGAUGAUAGGUAGCCGGCCUGAGAAAGUGAACGGCCACAAGGGGACGGAGAAACAGCGCGUACUCCUACGGGGGGAAGCAGGAAGGAAUAUUCGGCGAUGAACCAAGGUCUGAACCAGCAAUUCUGUGUGCAAGAUGAAGUUUUCGAAGUGUAGAGUGCUUUCAGAUGGGAAGCGGUACCAACAGAAGAAGAGACGGCUAAAUACGAGCCAACAGGCGCGGUAAUUC
rnacentral:rRNA from 1 species